UCGCGAUCCACCCAGUCCGAGAGGACCG
rnacentral:sRNA from 1 species